AUUGAACGCUAGCGGGAUGCCUUACACAUGCAAGUCGAACGGAGUGGCGAACGGGUGGGUGAUGUAUCGGUACGUGCCCCGUCGCGGGGGAUAACUACACGAAAGCGUAGCUAAUACCGCAUCCUUUUGGCGCGGCCGAUACCGGAUUAGCUAGUGGGUGUGGUAACGGCUCACCAAGGCGACGAUCCGUAGCUGGUUUGAGAGGACGACCAGCCACACUGGGACUGAGACACGGCCCAGACUCCUACGGGAGGCAGCAGUGGGGAAUUUUGGACAAUGGGGGAAACCCUGAUCCAGCCAUCCCGCGUGUGCGAAGAAGGCCUUCGGGUUGUAAAGCACUUUUGGCAGGAAAGCGGUACCCGCAGAAGAAGCACCGGCUAACUACGUGCCAGCAGCCGCGGUAAUAC
rnacentral:rRNA from 1 species